GUCUCUGUAGCGCAAUGGGAUAGCGUGUUGGACCUACAAUUCAAAAAGGUCGUGGGUUUUCGAAUCCCUCCUGGGUACC